CCGAGAAACUGCGCCGGUGCCCCGCGUGAGCCACCGCCACCCGAAUCCACUCCAUCAGGGGAGGCAGCACGAUGAACGGCCUGCGGAGACACACGCGUCAGGGCCAAGGCACACGGCAGCAUCACCACGGCAGGGACACAGAGAGGCCAAGGACGGGGAAAGAUGCCUGGACCUUCUUGCUUCCUUCUGGGAUUCUUACAAAAUAAAAGCAAUUGCUGCAGCUGGAGAGUGAAUACAGCAACAGAACAGAAAUUAAAUCCUGGCUCCUGGGAUGCUGCAAGCUGGUGGGAAAAUGCAGACACAUGCCUGGGGACUACUUCCUCUGCUGGUCCACGAGCCUCCAGCUUUCUGCCUGCCCAUCAUAAAACAGACAUCCCACUGAAAUGAGACAGGAUACCAACACAAGAGACACAAAUCUGGCCAGCUGAGAGGUGCUCUCAAGUACAACAUAGGGAAGAUGGAAUAAAGCAUCUUUCACCUUUAAAACUGAGCGCUAUGUAUGCAAACAAGCCACAGGCAUUGCCACGAGUUUGCACAACACUUCUUUCCACCUACAGCUUCAUGAACUAACAAUGGGGCAUGAACACAGCUAGAUCUGACCAACAUCUCCUUCAACAUUAUGCAGCCCCCCUCAUCUCUCCUCAGCAGAACUGGAAAAUGUACCUAACUUUGCUUUACUUCAAGGACAGAAGUCCAAACACUUUCAGCAGCCUGGUACUUACUGAGCUCAGCGAUGCUCCCCACGCGCGUGGCAAGCAGGGACUGUUCGAUGGUCCUCAGCUCUGACUGGCUGAACAUCUGCACCUCCCCAGGCUUGUUUGACCUUUGCUGGUCCUUGUGAAGGUUCAAGCUGUCCGGCAGGCAGAGAACACCUACAGUGGAGAAAAAGAAAGGAGAAGCCCAAUGUAAUUUCAGCUAGUAUGGUAACUUUGCUGCUACCACCACAUUGAUCUGGGGACAUUCCAAGACACAGCCUGCAUGUGCAGAGCUCGAAGACAACCCACAUCUGUAACACAGUGUCUCUGAUGAUUCAUGCAGAAGUGGCCCUUGUUAGCCCUUCUGAAUAUCUUCAAGCUGA